rnacentral:rRNA from 1 species
UUAAUUCGACGCAACGCGAAGAACCUUACCAGGGCUUGACAUCCCCUGACCGCGUAUGAAAGUACGUUUUCACCCUCGGGUGACAGGGAGACAGGUGGUGCAUGGUUGUCGUCAGCUCGUGUCGUGAGAUGUUGGGUUAAGUCCCGCAACGAGCGCAACCCCUACGUUUAGUUGCUAACAGGUGAAGCUGAGCACUCUAGACGAACUGCCGUUGACAAAAACGGAGGAAGGUGGGAUGACGUCAAAUCAUCAUGCCCCUUAUGUUCUGGGCUACACACGUGCUACAAUGGCCGGUACAGACGGAGGCGAAGCCGCGAGGCGGAGCAAAUCCGAAAAAGCCGGUCUCAGUUCGGAUUGCAGGCUGCAAUUCGCCUGCAUGAAGUCGGAAUCGCUAGUAAUCGCAGGUCAGCAUACUGCGGUCGAAUACGUUCCCGGGCCUU